ACUACAACGAGACGGCUGUGCUCACGCAGAUCUUGUCUCUUUAGGGCGCAGGCGCCAUGCUCCUACUGUCAGUCCGUCACCUUGACCAUGUAGUUAACCCUCACGCCAUUUGUCAAGAAAUGUUGGUAGGUUGAUUAUAUCUUGCUGCAUUUUUAACCUGGAUAUUUGCUGAAUGAGAUGGUGAUCUUGUCAAUGACAGUGUGAGCAUGAUGGCGGUGCCAGGGAGCAGCCUGUUCAUGAAACAAGCAACCUCAGGUGAUGUGUGUCAAAGAAUUGAGGUCCGGGCAGACGUGGGCAACGGGAUGGUUCACUUCACCUGAUAAACGGAGUGAGCCAGCGCAGGCAGUGCGUUGUCUGACAUACUGCAUGCGUGAAGGAAAGCAGUGAAUUGCUCUAUAUUUGGAAGACACUGCUGGAGUUGACAAGGCAAAGCGAAAGUGAAGGAGUCUGCCCACUCAGCGGAAGAUGAGUAAGGGCUGAAAUCCCUACUGUCCUUUACUUAGCCUCGGGAGGGACAUCACCUGAUAAGAUACAUGGCGAGUGAAAG